UCCCCGAGGCGGCCUCUGUCCCCUUCGCCCCUUCCCCCCCCCCCCCCGCCCCCGUCCCCGCCCCGGGGGCCGCCGCCACCCGUCUCCCACCAUGGCUCUGAAGAGAAUCCACAAGGAAUUGAAUGACCUGGCACGGGAUCCCCCAGCACAGUGUUCAGCAGGUCCUGUUGGAGAUGAUAUGUUCCAUUGGCAAGCUACAAUAAUGGGGCCAAAUGACAGUCCCUAUCAGGGUGGAGUAUUUUUCUUGACAAUUCAUUUUCCAACAGAUUAUCCCUUCAAA